rnacentral:sRNA from 1 species
GCGGGGCCCUGCGCUCGAGCUGUCGGCGCUGCUCGGCGAGAGCGCGGCCGGCCCGAGCGUGCGGUGGAGGGGAGCGGAGCCCUGAGGCCCAGGCGGGGCCUGUGAGAGGAACGCGCGGCCUCCGGAGCGUCUCGGUGCGGCGGCCGAGAGCUCCGGCCUGGGGGGCCGAGGCCAGGGUGAGGGCCCAGGAGAGAGCUCGGGGCGGCGGCGAGGCGGGCCUGCGCAGCGGGAGUUGAAGCGGAGCGGGGCUCCAGGCCCGGUCCGCCGGCGAGCCGCCCCCGCCGUCGGAGGUGGACAGGGCGACGGGGGGCCGGGUCUUUUCAUGACCGCUCGGACGUGCAGCACCAGAGUUCCCGAGCCCGUAUUAAAAGUGCUUAGCUCUGCAGGAGAGGCGAGAGAAGUUGCGGAGUCCAUCUGCAUCCUGGCAAGAACUUGGAGGACUGGCAAGAGGGGUGUCUUUGCUUUGGGGGCUGGAAGUUCUGAAAAAGAUAGGGAAGGAGGGCAGGUCUGGAGGAGUGCCGCUUGUCCUGGAGAACCACCGUCGCAGCAGAAAUGGCUUUAUGAACCGAACGUGUAACUGAUUUGAUUUCUCAAGUCCAGUCCAGUCAGGGCAGCUGCAGGUGAAGAGUCAAGUCUCCCUUGACUGCCUAUCUGCCCUCCUAUCCACUCGGUCAAGGGUUGGCACUGAAGCAGUGUAGCUCUGGCUCGAUGAAGGCUGACCUGUGGUCUGAUCUGGCCGGUUGUGGCCUGUUGAUGGCUGGUGUAUGGCCACAUCUCUGAUUGAUGUUGGAAGCCAACUUUUAAUUUGAGGGUGAGCUGGAUAAACACUAACCUUCAGUUGGAGUGGACUUGUGGCUGUUCGUUAUGUGAACUAAUGGGGGAUUUUUGGUGGGCUUUUCUUGGAGUUUUGUUGUUUUUUAGUUUGUUUUGACCAACUGCUUUGAAUCUGAAGAUAACAUUUUCUGUGUCGCUGCUGCAACCCCCCACGCCCCUUUAGUUAGACACUUUAGGUUGUCUGCCUUUCCUUUACAUUCUGGUGUAGGCAUGAGACUUGGAUAUCCCAAAUCCCAGUCGAGUUACCUGUUGUACGGACAUAUUAAGUAGGAAGGCAUUUCCAAAAGGAGUUGUUGCUCUGAUGGGAUCGUGGCUUUAGUCAGCCUCCAAUUUGGAGCGGCCAGCACCUGCUGUUAAGAGUUAGACUGUAGCUGGAAGGAGCCAUUACUAUAGCUUCCUUAAGGACACAGAGAAAACAGCAUUAGUGCAUCUUGUUUACCUCCAACGACAUUUCAAACAUGCAGCAUAGUUUUUAUUUUAAAGCACUUUAGAGUUCAGUAAUCUGAAGUUUUUCCUUUGAAGGAGUGUAGUUGAGUGUUAGGUUAGGAAACUUGAGUUUGAGAAUUUCAUCAGGCAGGCUGGUAUGUGUCUGCCUCAGUUGUGAAAUUCUUGGUUCUGAACUUAGGUUAGCAAGUGUGGAUGCUAUAUCUUUGUAUGACAGAAAAUUUAAGAAAAGAGAUUGAUCCCCCCACCCCUAAAAUCACCUCUAAUGGGGUGAAACAGUGGAAGGCAUUAUGUAAUUCCUUAAGCAGGUGGGUUUUUUUGUUUCUUGUUUUUUGUUUUUAAAGGCCUAGCCACCAUUGUUGAAAUUGUUCAGAAAAGAUUUAUUGAAGAAAUCUAGGCAUUUAGGGGUGGUGGUAAUAAUUACAAAAAUGGUGAUUAUUUAUGCCUUUCAUAUUGCUAAUCUUUACUAGGAAUACUUCAAGUGUUUUCAGCUCAUUUAAACCUUACCAGUCUUUUAAAGAAUCCCAAAGAACUGGGCCUGGUGUUGGGCCUGGACGAGAUGCCUGCAGCUUGGGAAGCAGAAGCAGGAGGAUCAGAAGGGUGAGGUCAUCCUCAGCUACCUAGUAAAGUUCAGUCAGCCUGGGCUAGAUGAGAUCUGUGUUGUCACCCUUGACCCCAAGUCUCCAUUUUCCAGAUGAGGAAACAGGCAUAAGAGGUUCAAAUUUGCCUAUGGUCAUCCACUCAGAUGAGGACAGAGUUGAAUCCAGAGAACCUGCUCCACAAUUCAUGACCCAGUGUGCUUUCUUUACUUCUUCUGUCCAAGUGUUUGUGGAGAUUGGAUAGGAUUCUAAAGGUGUUUGUGUUUUAGUUGUUUAACGACAUGUAGGGGCUGGAGAGAUGACUCACUGAGUGUGUAUUGUGAACAAGCUUGAGGACCUGAGUUCAAAUGCUAGCAUAGACAGCCUUGUAUGGUGUACCUGUAACCCCAUUGCUCUUGGUGGGGUAGAGACUGGAGGAUCCCUGGGGCUAACUGGGUACUAGCUUCUAGGUUCAGUGAGAAAAGGAACAGGUGGAGAGUGAUGGAGUAGGAAGUCCUGUGUCCUCCUCUGGCCUCUCAGGCACACACAGUUAUCUGUAUACAUAGGUGCACAUAUACCACAUAUGGGUAGGACCCUCCCCCCAUGAAGUCAUGAAAAGGAUUUCAAUCUCAGAUUUCUUUCUAGGACUUCUAUUUCUUUUUUCUAAUGCAGAAAACCAUUUCUCCUUUUAACUCCUAAGAUUGAUGUGUACCUUAAAAUGUUAAAACAAGUCUAAAUAAAGAUCACACUUUUUUUAAUUUAAAGCUAACUCAGUGGUCUUUUGUUUUUCAAUGUGUUUAAAUGAAUUUUCCUGUAUUUUACUUUUUCAUCUCAAAUUUAUACCUAAUUUUGGAAUUGAGAGAGGGACAUGUAAGUGAUAGUUGAUAUUGAACAUACUACAUAUAAAAACAUUUUAUAAAUCAUUGAGCUGUAUUCUUAAAUGUUUAUUGUUGUAGGCUGUAGUGAUGUUGGUGAUUGUUUAUUGGGUUCUUAGUGUUUUGUUUAGUCUUAGGCACAAAUGUGCAGUGAGUUUCAUAUGUUCUACAGCUGAGGAAGCUGAGGUCAAUAUGUAAGAUACUUACUUGCCCACAUUGUACAGCUUUCCAGAGGCUUGUCAA